rnacentral:misc_RNA from 1 species
GAAAUACGAUAAGUAAUGUGAAUUGCAGAAUUCAGUGAAUCAUCGAAUCUUUGAACGCACCUUGCGCUCCUUGGUAUUCCGAGGAGCAUGCCUGUUUGAGUGUCAUGGAAUUCUCAACUCUAUUUGCUUUUGUGAAUAGAGCUUGGAUUUGGAGGUUUAUUGCUGGUACUUGUGAUCGGCUCCUCUUGAAUGCAUUAGCUCGAACCUUUGCGGAUCAGCUAUCGGUGUGAUAAUUGUCUACGCCGUUGCAGUGAAGCAUAUCAAUGGGCUCGGCUUCCAAUCGUCCUUUACUGGACAAUGACUUUGACCUUUGACCUCAAAUCAGGUAGGAUUACCCGCUGAACUUAAGC